rnacentral:rRNA from 1 species
AUUGAACGCUGGCGGCAUGCUUUACACAUGCAAGUCGAACGGUAACAGGGUGCUUGCACCGCUGACGAGUGGCGAACGGGUGAGUAAUGCAUCGGAAUGUACCGUGUAAUGGGGGAUAGCUCGGCGAAAGCCGGAUUAAUACCGCAUACGCCCUGAGGGGGAAAGUGGGGGACCGAAAGGCCUCACGUUAUACGAGCAGCCGAUGUCUGAUUAGCUAGUUGGUGAGGUAAAGGCUCACCAAGGCGUCGAUCAGUAGCGGGUCUGAGAGGAUGAUCCGCCACACUGGGACUGAGACACGGCCCAGACUCCUACGGGAGGCAGCAGUGGGGAAUUCUGGACAAUGGGCGCAAGCCUGAUCCAGCCAUGCCGCGUGUCUGAAGAAGGCCUUCGGGUUGUAAAGGACUUUUGUCCGGGAGCAAAUCCUAGUGGUUAAUAACCGCUGGGUCUGAGAGUACCGGAAGAAUAAGCACCGGCUAACUACGUG